CGGACGGGUGAGUAACACGUGGAUAACCUACCUAUAAGACUGGGAUAACUUCGGGAAACCGGAGCUAAUACCGGAUGAUAUUUUGAACCGCAUGGUUCAAAAGUGAAAGACGGUCUUGCUGUCACUUAUAGAUGGAUCCGCGCUGCAUUAGCUAGUUGGUAAGGUAACGGCUUACCAAGGCAACGAUGCAUAGCCGACCUGAGAGGGUGAUCGGCCACACUGGAACUGAGACACGGUCCAG
rnacentral:rRNA from 1 species